rnacentral:rRNA from 1 species
CAGUCGCCGCGGGAAUACGUAGGUGGCAAGCGUUGUCCGGAAUUAUUGGGCGUAAAGCGCGCGCAGGUGGUUUAAUAAGUCUGAUGUGAAAGCCCACGGCUCAACCGUGGAGGGUCAUUGGAAACUGUUAAACUUGAGUGCAGGAGAGAAAAGUGAAAUUCCUAGUGUAGCGGUGAAAUGCGUAGAGAUUAGGAGGAACACCAGUGGCGAAGGCGGCUUUUUGGCCUGUAACUGACACUGAGGCGCGAAAGCGUGGGGAGCAAACAGGAUUAGAUACCCGUGUAGUCCCUGUCUCUUAUCA